AUCUUCCGCAAUGGGCGAAAGCCUGACGGUGCAACGCCGCUUGAGCGAAGAAGGUCUUCGGAUUGUAAAGCUCUGUCUUUAAGAAAGAACACCUUAUAGAGGGAACGCUAUAAGAAUGACGGUACUUAAGUAGGAAGCACCGGCCAACUACGUGCAAGCAGCCGCGGUAAUACGUAGGGUGCAAGCGUUGUCCGGAAUUAUUGGGCGUACAGAGUGCGUAGGCUGCCCUUUAAGUCAGAUGUGAAAGCCCACGGCUUAACCGUGGGACUGCAUUUGAAACUGGAGGGCUUGAGUGUCGGAGAGGGCAGUGGAAUUCCCAGUGUAGCGGUGGAAUGCGUAGAUAUUGGGAGGAACACCAGUGGCGAAGGCGACUGCCUGGACGAUAACUGACGCUGAGGCACGAAAGCUAGGGGAGCAAAC
rnacentral:rRNA from 1 species